ACAGUGCCAUGGCCGUCUGAGCUAAGGCACCCAGAAACAAAAAGGCGCAGCGUGCUGCGCCUUUUUU
rnacentral:sRNA from 1 species